UACGGGGGGGGCAAGCGUUGUUCGGAUUCAUUGGGCGUAAAGGGUGCGUAGGUGGCGCUGUAAGUCGGGUGUGAAAUUUCGGAGCUUAACUCCGAAACUGCAUUCGAUACUGCGGUGCUUGAGGACUGGAGAGGAGACUGGAAUUUAUGGUGUAGCAGUGAAAUGCGUAGAGAUCAUAAGGAAGACCAGUGGCGAAGGCGGGUCUCUGGACAGUUCCUGACACUGAGGCACGAAGGCCAGGGGAGCAAAACGGG
rnacentral:rRNA from 1 species